rnacentral:rRNA from 1 species
UACGUAGGGUGCGAGCGUUGUCCGGAAUUACUGGGCGUAAAGAGCUCGUAGGUGGUUUGUCGCGUUGUUCGUGAAAACUCACAGCUUAACUGUGGGCGUGCGGGCGAUACGGGCAGACUGGAGUACUGCAGGGGAGACUGGAAUUCCUGGUGUAGCGGUGGAAUGCGCAGAUAUCAGGAGGAACACCGGUGGCGAAGGCGGGUCUCUGGGCAGUAACUGACGCUGAUGCGCGAAAGCGAGGGGAGCGAACGGG